UACGGAGGGGGCUAGCGUUGUUCGGAAUUACUGGGCGUAAAGCGCACGUAGGCGGAUUGGAAAGUCAGAGGUGAAAUCCCAGGGCUCAACCUUGGAACUGCCUUUUGAAACUCCCAGUCUUGAGUUCGAGAGAGGUGAGUGGAAUUCCGAGUGUAGAGGUGAAAUUCGUAGAUAUUCGCAGGAACACCAGUGGCGAAGGCGACUUGCUGGACUUAUGGUGACGCUGAGACGCGAAAGCGUGGGGAGCAAACAGG
rnacentral:rRNA from 1 species